AUUUAAAAAAAGAAAAAAGAAAAAAAGGGCCUGUACGAAUGCGACAAACAACAGGGAAGUUUUUUCGCGCAUUCUGAUUUCGUUCCUUUUGCUGGGAGCGGCCUGGGGUUGCAGAGAAAAACGGUUGAGAGAAUUUGUUUGGGGGCAGUACAGAGGGUUUGUCCUUUUUUCUUCUCACCCUAAUCUUCCAAAAAGCAGAGAGGGGAACAUUUGGACGGUCAUGGGUCACACUUCGCUACCGCGGCCUAGGCAGCACUCGGGACUUCCCCUGAUCGGAAAGAAUCAAACAAGCUCACGGUAGAGGAAGAAGGCUGACCGUUCAUUGUAGAUUAACAAGUUAUAUUUCUUCUCCUCUGCUGUUAUGUUACCAGUAUUAGCCAAACUGAAGGUUCACUAUUAAAUGAGAAUAAUGGAAGACACAUUUAUGCUAUACUCAUGCAAUGAAGAUGGUGUGUGGUGCUCCCAAAAUAUACCUCUACAUCAUAAGAAGUAUCUAAUGGUUGAAACACGAAAUCGAAUAUAAAAGGAUAUUUUAUCGUGAUAGUAUCUUUUAAGGUGUUAUGUUUAGCUCUUUAGUACAUAUCUAUAUAUUUUUUCUUUUCACUUA